CCUACGGGAGGCAGCAGUGAGGAAUAUUGGUCAAUGGACGAGAGUCUGAACCAGCCAAGUAGCGUGAAGGAUGACUGCCCUAUGGGUUGUAAACUUCUUUUAUAUGGGGAUAAAACGUUCCACGUGUGGGAUUUUGUAUGUACCAUAUGAAUAAGGAUCGGCUAACUCCGUGCCAGCAGCCGCGGUAAUACGGAGGAUCCGAGCGUUAUCCGGAUUUAUUGGGUUUAAAGGGAGCGUAGGUGGAUUGUUAAGUCAGUUGUGAAAGUUUGCGGCUCAACCGUAAAAGUGCAGUUGAAACUGGCAGUCUUGAGUACAGUAGAGGUGGGCGGAAUUCGUGGUGUAGCGGUGAAAUGCUUAGAUAUCACGAAGAACUCCGAUUGCGAAGGCAGUUCACUGGACUGCAACUGACACUGAGGCUCGAAAGUGUGGGUAUCAAACAGGAUUAGAUACCCCGGUAGUC
rnacentral:rRNA from 1 species